UACGUAGGGGGCUAGCGUUGUCCGGAUUUAUUGGGCGUAAAGAGCGUGUAGGCGGCCAAGUAGGUCCGGUGUGAAAACUCGAGGCUUAACCUCGAGAUGUCAUCGGAAACCAUUUGGCUAGAGUCCGGAAGAGGAAAGUGGAAUUCCUGGUGUAGCGGUGAAAUGCGUAGAGAUCGGAAAGAACACCAGUGGCGAAGGCGGCGACCUGGAUCUUAACUGACACUGAGGUGCGAAAGCGUGGGGAGCAAACAGG
rnacentral:rRNA from 1 species